AGCCUUCUGUAUCCGUGCUGAGAUUUCGUCAGCAAUCAACCCGCUGGUGCUGGCUGAUGCAACUUCUCAAAUAAGUGAAGCA
rfam:Trichobilharzia regenti genome assembly, scaffold: TRE_scaffold0002981